ACCCCGCUGAACUUAAGCAUAUCAAUAAGCGGAGGAAAAGAAAAUAACAAUGAUUCCCCUAGUAACUGCGAGUGAAGGGGGACAAGCUCAAAUUUUAAAUCUAUCGGGUUUUACCCGAUCGAGUUGUAAUUUGAAGAGGCGUUUUCUGUGUUUCUGAUCAGUCCAAGUCCCUUGGGAUAAGGCAUCAUGGAGGGUGAGAAUCCCGUCCGGUUGAUCAGAUUCGCUUUACGAUACGCUUUCUAAGAGUCAAGUUGUUUGGGAUUGCAGCUUAAAAUGGGAGGUAAAUUUCUCAUAAGGCUAAAUAACGGCGAGAGACCGAUAGCGAACAAGUACCGUGAGGGAAAGAUGAAAAGAACUUUGAAAAGAGAGUUAAACAGUACGUGAAAUUGUUGAAAGGGAAACGAUUGAAGCCAGUCGUACCUAUGGGUAAUCAGCCUUUUGGGUGUGAUUUUGUGGAGCGUGAGGAGUUAAACGCCUUCAUGCCUGCAUAUUCGUGCACUUUGGGUGUACUUGCCCGUAUGGUUGGUUAACAUCAAUUUUGGUGGUCAUAAAAUGACUGGAGGAAUGUAGCUUCGAUCUCGUAUUGAAGUGUUAUAGCCUUCGGUAGAUGUGAUGAUCGAGAUUGAGGAUUGCAACGGAUACCCUUCGGGGCUACCUGUCUGAUCUCUGAUCGUUGCUCUGGUGCCGAAAGCUUGCUUACGGUUAUCAAAGUCGAUGGUCAAUAGGUUAGAACGGGUUAAAUUCGUUAAGGAUGUUGACGUAAUGGCUUUAAACGACCCGUCUUGAAACACGGACCAAGGAGUCUAACAUAUAUGCGAGUGUUAGGGUGAUUAAACCCUUACGCGUAAUGAAAGUAAUUUUGGUGGGAACAUUUUUGUGCACCAUCGACCGAUCAGGAUAUUUUUUGAUAGAUUUGAGUAAGAGCAUAUCUGCUAGGACCCGAAAGAUGGUGAACUAUGCCUGAAUAGGGUGAAGUCAGAGGAAACUCUGAUGGAGGCUCGUAGCGGUUCUGACGUGCAAAUCGAUCGUCAAAUUUGGGUAUAGGGGCGAAAGACUAAUCGAACCAUCUAGUAGCUGGUUCCUGCCGAAGUUUCCCUCAGGAUAGCAGAAACUCGUUAACAGUUUUAUGAGGUAAAGCGAAUGAUUAGAGGCCUUAGGGUUGAAACAGCCUUAACCUAUUCUCAAACUUUAAAUAUGUAAGAAGUUUAUCGUUACUUAAUUGAACGUGAACAUUCGAAUGAGAGUUUCUAGUGGGCCAUU
rnacentral:rRNA from 1 species